AGUGAACGCUGGCGGUAGGCCUAACACAUGUAAGUCGAACGGCAGCACAGUAAGAGCUUGCUCUUACGGGUGGCGAGUGGCGGACGGGUGAGGAAUACAUCGGAAUCUACUUUUUCGUGGGGGAUAACGUAGGGAAACUUACGCUAAUACCGCAUACGACCUACGGGUGAAAGCAGGGGAUCUUCGGACCUUGCGCGAUUGAAUGAGCCGAUGUCGGAUUAGCUAGUUGGCGGGGUAAAGGCCCACCAAGGCGACGACCCGUAGCUGGUCUGAGAGGAUGAUCAGCCACACUGGAACUGAGACACGGUCCAGACUCCUACGGGAGGCAGCAGUGGGGAAUAUUGGACAAUGGGCGCAAGCCUGAUCCAGCCAUACCGCGUGGGUGAAGAAGGCCUUCGGGUUGUAAAGCCCUUUUGUUGGGAAAGAAAAGCAGCAGGUUAAUACCCCGCUGUUCUGACGGUACCCAAAGAAUAAGCACCGGCUAACUUCGUG
rnacentral:rRNA from 1 species